CGAGUGACGCCAUCAUCCAGCGCGGUGUUUAGGCUUCACUGUUGUCGUGGCGCUUUGGGGCAAGAAGUUGGUGUUGCUCGGGCCCCUGGGACUGAAGACGAGGUCCGGGUGACUCCGGCCCUUUCCUACCCACAUCUCCCUCGCUCGCCUUUCUCUCCUUCCUCUGGCAGGAUGAGGCGUGCAGGCCUGGGUAAGAAGUGAGCUGAGGUUCAAAGUUUGGGGACCCCAGAAACAGCCUUGCUCGGAGGCAUAGAGCUGUGGGAGGGUCUCGACUGGUCUCCUGUCAUAGGCAUUGGGGCUUUAAAGUGGGAUGUUUGAAGGUAAUCUUUGGAGGCAGUCCGAGUGGAAACACGUAAUUUGUCCCACAUCCCAGGGAGUUUCUUAAGUCCAAUUCAGACCAAGUUUGGAUGGUAGGUUAGAGGGAGUAG
rnacentral:lncRNA from 1 species